rfam:Takifugu rubripes genomic scaffold, scaffold_306
AGCAGAGUGGCACAGCAGAAGCGUGCUGGACCCGUAACCUAGAGAAUGAUGGAUCAAAACCAUCCUCUGCUA